CCUACGGGUGGCAGCAGUGGGGAAUAUUGGACAAUGGGGGGAACCCUGAUCCAGCCAUGCCGCGUGUGUGAAGAAGGCCCUCGGGUUGUAAAGCACUUUCAGUGAGGAAGAACGCCUGGUGGUUAAUACCCAUCAGGAAAGACAUCACUCACAGAAGAAGCACCGGCUAACUCCGUGCCAGCAGCCGCGGUAAUACGGAGGGUGCGAGCGUUAAUCGGAAUUACUGGGCGUAAAGCGCGCGUAGGUGGCUUGAUAAGCCGGUUGUGAAAGCCCCGGGCUCAACCUGGGAACGGCAUCCGGAACUGUCAAGCUAGAGUGCAGGAGAGGAAGGUAGAAUUCCCGGUGUAGCGGUGAAAUGCGUAGAGAUCGGGAGGAAUACCAGUGGCGAAGGCGGCCUUCUGGACUGACACUGACACUGAGGUGCGAAAGCGUGGGUAGCAAACAGGAUUAGAUCCCUAGUAGUC
rnacentral:rRNA from 1 species